CAAAUAAUACACCCGGGUAUGUCCUUAAACUACGUCCAAACAAGAGGUACGGGCGUUGUAAAUGUCAUCUCGCUUUGCAUGGGACCCCCAGCGGGUGUCAUUCCAGAUCUAGAGCAGAGCCCAACUGGGGAAGUACCUCCACCUUACAGAAAACCGCAGCCAAAUAACACUACUCAUAGUGUUGUAAUGUGAGUAAGGUUGCCAGAGCUCAACGCGGGUGCGGGGUGUGAGGGUCGGCAACGCACAUGUAACACCUCUGGGGUUGCAGGCGUAUAGGCUACGGAGACUGCUUACCAUUAGGCGGGCCGUAUGCUUGUUUGCCACCGACGUAGUAUAAAAA